GGGGUCUCAUGUCCCUCACAGUAUGGAAGCCGCGGCCUCGUUCCACUCCCGCCCACAGAUUCUUCUCUGAUUUCAAAGGACAGCAUGACCACCAAACUCCUGAACUGGAAAUUCCCAUGGUCAGUGGAGAAAAAAUCUAGCAGCUGAUGCAUGAGGACCCACAGCCUGGCAAGUUCUCUUUGUAUCCUAUCAUGUGAAUAGAAGCCAAGGAAGGUUGUUUGGUUUGGAUUUCACAUGGUGACUGACCAGCCCAGGGGAGCCAACAAAAAACUGCCUUGCUCUGUGCAUCUAGCGGACGGCAUCUCCAAGAGGCUAGCUGUCUCAGUCACUAGUUGUCCAUGUGAACAAAUUGCCACCCACGCCAUUACAUGAGAAUUGCC